rnacentral:rRNA from 1 species
UGAAUACGAGAUGCUACGGCGUCGAAGCAGUCUAUGUCAUACUUCCAAGAAAAGCUUGCACUGUCAUAAACAAAUAAUGCCUGUACCAUAACCGACACAGGUGGGUAGGUAGAGUAUACUAAGGGGCGCGAGAUAACUCUCUCUAAGGAACUCGGCAAAAUGACUCCGUAACUUCGGGAGAAGGAGUGCCUUAUUUAUAAGGUUGCAAUAACAAGAUCCAAGCAACUGUUUACCAAAAACACAGGUCUCCGCUAAGUCGUAAGACGAUGUAUGGGGGCUGACGCCUGCCCAGUGCCAGAAGGUUAAAGAAGUUGGUUAGCAUCCGCGAAGCUGAUAACUGAAGCCCUGGUGAACGGCGGCCGUAACUAUAACGGUCCUAAGGUAGCGAAAUGCCUUGUCGGGUAAGUUCCGACCCGCACGAAAGGCGUAAUGAUUUGGAUACUGUCUCGGAGAGGGGCUCGGUGAAAUAGACUUGUCUGUGAAGAUGCGGACUACCUGCACCAGGACAGAAAGACCCUAUGAAGCUUUACUGUAACCUGAAAUUGAAAUUGGACUUUACUUGCGCAGUAUAGGUGGGAGGCGUUGAGAAUAUUCUUGCGGGAUUAUUGGAGCCAUCAGUGAGAUACCACUCUUGUAAUGUUAGAUUUCUAACUUUGUAUCAUUAUCUGGUCAAAGAACAGUUUCAGGCGGGCAGUUUGACUGGGGCGGUCGCCUCCUAAACGGUAACGGAGGCGCACAAAGGUUUCCUCUGAACGGGUAGAAAUCGUAUCUAGAGUGUAAAGGCAUAAGGAAGCUUGACUGUGAGACCUACAAGUCGAGCAGGGACGAAAGUCGGUCUUAGUGAUCUGACGGUGCUGAGUGGAAAGGCCGUCACUCAACGGAUAAAAGUUACUCUAGGAUAACAGGCUGAUCUCCCCCAAGAGUUCACAUCGACGGGGAGGUUUGGCACCUCGAUGUCGGCUCAUCGCAUCCUGGGGCGGUAGUACGUCCCAAGGGUUGGGCUGUUCGCCCAUGAAAGCGGUACGCGAGCUGGGUUCAGAACGUCGUGUGACAGUUCGGUCCAUAUCCGGUGUAGGCGUUAGAAUAUUGAGAGGAGCCUUCUUUAGUACGAGAGGACCGAGAAGGACAUACCUCUGGUGUACCAGUUAUCGUGCCAACGGUAAACGCUGGGUAGCUAUGUGUGGAGUGGAUAACCGCUGAAAGCAUCUAAGUGGGAAGCCCACCUCAAGAUAAG